UACGUAGGGGGCAAGCGUUGUCCGGAUUUAUUGGGCGUAAAGCGCUCGCAGGUGGUUCGUUGCGUCGGGCGUGAAAGACCCCGGCUCAACUGGGGAGUGUCGUGCGAUACGGGCGAACUGGAGGCCAGUAGGGGGAUGCGGAAUUCCGGGUGUAGUGGUGGAAUGCGUAGAGAUCCGGAGGAACACCAGCGGCGAAGGCGGCAUCCUGGACUGGUCCUGACACUCAGGAGCGAAAGCGUGGGGAGCGAUCCGG
rnacentral:rRNA from 1 species